rnacentral:misc_RNA from 1 species
GGCUGUUUAUAGAUAAUGAUGUUCUUAAUUGCGUAGAGUAACAAUGCAAGCCGGAUCUGAAAUUUUUAAGACUAUCGACGCGUUUCUCGCGCUACUCCAGAGUCCAAUUGUUAGUGAACAAAUGACCGUGGAAAAUGUGACGCGAGCUUUCAACUGUGCUCGUUUCGUCGAGGUCGCCAUUGCCAAAGUACAGGCUGAAGACAAAAAGUUGCCCUUCGAGAAAUGCCUACAUCAGAAGCUAGAGCGAAAGUUAUUUCCACAGAAUCAGAACAUUACAUGUUCCGAUCUAGAGAAAGCCUGUGACAAAUUAUUAGAAUGUUACUUAAAAGAUAGCAAUGUACCUACAGAGAUAGUAGACGAGUAUCUGAAACUAUACACCCAACAUUUUGGACAGGACAGAUUAAACGUCUUCUUGAAAGAGAUGAUAAGCAGCUCGGUUGCCAUAAAUAUGAUUAUAGAAUCUUUGGGGGAAUUAGGAGUGCCAUUGUCUCGCAUGGAGGAUGAGGCGUUAAUUAUGUCAUGGCAGAUGGCAAUAGCUAAUGGUGAUCGAGAUGAAGUAAUGGAAUGCAUAAAUAAGAUGUUAAAUGAUGGUCACGUUUCACGACUGACUUAGUGUACCAGAAAAUACACCAUUUACUGCUGUAUUAAAAUUUGCUGCUGAGGAAUUUAGAGUGCCACCAGCUACGUCAGCCAUAAUUACAGAUGAUGGCAUAGGAAUUAAUCCUCAACAAACUGCAGGAAAUGUGUUUCUUAAAC